rnacentral:rRNA from 1 species
AACGUAGGUCCCGAGCGUUAUCCGGAUUUACUGGGCGUAAAGCGUGUUCAGGCGGUCUAGCAAGUCGGGCAUGAAAUCUCUCGGCUCAACCGGGAGGGGUUGUCCGAUACUGCUGGGCUUGAGGGCAGCAGAGGGUGGUGGAAUUCCGGGUGUAGUGGUGAAAUGCGUAGAUAUCCGGAGGAACACCAGUGGCGAAGGCGGCCACCUGGGCCAACACUGACGCUCAUGCACGAAAGCGUGGGGAGCAAACAGG